GCUGGGAGGCGUGAGCCACUGGCCUAGAACCGUAUUUUGACUGUGCCUUUUAUAUGUUUAGCUAUGCUUAGAUACCUGAAUACUUACCACUGUGUUGCAGCGGCCUACAGUAUUCAGCACAGUCCCAUACCGUGCAGGUUUGCCACCGGGGAGCAGUAGGCUAUGCUGUCUAGCCGGGGUGGAGUAGGCUCUACCAUCUAAGUUUGUGAAGUACAUGCUGAUAUUCCCACAACAGCAAUGCAUUUUUCAGAACCUAUCCCUGCCGUUAAGCAAUGCGUGACAGCACUUCAACUCCUCUGGCCUGUUUGCUCUUCUAUAAAAUGCCCACCUCACAGGGGGUUGUAAGGAUUAAACAAGACAACCAGGACCUGGCAUUUGGUCGGUGCUCAGCAAAUACUGGGUUCCUCUCCUCCCCUGUCACCUGGGCUUCAGGUUUCCUGAGCUUAUCUGCAAACCUGUGCUGAACAAACAGAGCUACAGCCUGAGUGGCUAAAAAACAUGAAGAGAGGACAAGAAUGUGAUGUGUGGGAGGCAGAGGAAAGGGUCAUGGCCACGCAAAACUCUACUCAGAAUUGCAAGGGGGUUCCUCUGCUGCCCCUUCGAGCCCCCACACUGAAACUGGCUUUUCUGCUAUUUUUAAGAUUUGUUAAGUCAGGCCUGCUUUGCAUGGGAGCUCCACCUCCACAAUAGCCACUUUCUCCUUGGGAUCUGACUUGGAUCCCCACCUCAGCAUUGUCAAAGGCCCCGUGGAGCCUCUGAAGCUCUCCCUCCUGUGGCCUUUUGAGUCUAGUGCCUGUGCUGUGCAUGGCUCAUCACGCUCCAUAAGUAUUUGUGAAAUCAAAAUGUCUCCUUCUUGCCCAACACACACCCAUGGCUCCUCACAGCCCAACUCCCCUGCUGUAACCCAUCAGCCAAUCCAGUCACAUUAGACCUCUUGCAUCCCCUGAAAAAACUCUAUGCCUUUCCUUUGCCUAAAAUGCCCUUCUCCCCCUUCACCCACUGUCUCAUUCCUCAGGACCCUUCUCAAAAGUCACUCCAUCAAAAAGCCUUUCAGAUUCCAGCAAACACAAGGGAACUUCCGCUUAUCCCCAUUCCUCAAAUCACUUUGAUUGUGAAUUAAUUAAUUAAUUAAUUAAUUUAUUUAUUUAUUUUGAGACGGAGUCUUACUCUGCUGCUCAGGCUGGAGUGCAGUGGCAUGAUCUCAGCUCACUGCAACCUCCACCUCUAGGGUUCAACAGCUAAUUAUUGUAUUUUUAGUAGAGAUGGGAUUUCACCAUGUUGCCCAGUCUGGUCUCAAACUUCUGACCUCAGGUGAUCCAGCCACCUUGGCCUCCCAAAGUGCUGGGAUUACAGGCAUGAGCCACCACACCCAGCCUGAAAAUUUUUAAGUUUUUAACCUUAGCAGCUAACAGCAGAGUUCUUUAAAAGGUAUUUAACAUCUGUUUUUGGAAGAUAUGUUAAUGAAAUUGGAUAACUGGGUUUCCUGGGCACGUCAAACCAUAGUCAUCAACAUAAUGUACCCUACCUUCUCAUCAAAGUCCUAAUAAGACAAGCUUUCGUUUCUUUAUGACAGAACCACCCUAAGCGUUUAAAUUCCUUACCCAGAACUUAAGUCUUAAUUUAAAAUUUUCAUAAAUCAAAUUAUUUGGAAAAAUCUCAAUACUGAUUACAAAAUAAUCAAAUUAUUUUACACAUUUAAAAAUAUUCGAAUCUAUUAUCAUUCAACUUUUUUAAUAUUUCAAAAUAAGUCACAAGAUGAAUAUCAAAUCCUCUUAACUAUUUCAAAUUAAUAUCACAAUCAUAAUAUGCCAGAUUCUCUAACAUGACAUUCUCCAAAAUAUUUCAGAUGCCUUAAGAAACAAAUAAUACAUACAAAUUACCAUGAUGAUUUCAGUUUUUUUCUAAACCUAAUGCAAAGUAGUAAUAUCACGGAUUUGGUAGACAUUUUUCUUAUCACAAUGCUUAUUUCUACACCUUCACAGCAUUUUCCUAUGCUUACCACUUUAAGGAGAUCAGAAUUACUGUCUCAGUUUGGCUGGGGCUGCUCAGUCCAAAAUUUGGAACUGAGAUGAGUUACAGAUUUCAGUUUAGUUAGAGUUUCUGAAUUGCAUCAGAACAGCUGGGUCUACUUCCAGAGUGGUCCCUCCUGAGGUUUAUUUUGACUCAUGGUUCUACAGGUUGUAAGGGAAGCAUGGCACCAGCAUCUGCUUCUGAUGAGGGCCUCAGGAAGCUUCCCAUCAUGGCAUAUGGCAAAGAGGGAGCAAGCAAAUCAUGGUGAGAAAGGAAGCAAGAGUGAGCGGGAGGAAAUGCCAGGCUCUUUUGAUCAGCCGGAUCUCGCAUGAAGUCAUAGAGUGAGAACUCAUUCAUUACUGCAGGACAACACCAAGUCAUUUGUGAAGAUUCCAUCCCCGUGACCCAAACACCUCCGGGUAGGCCCACCUCCAACACUGGAGGUCACAUUUCAACAUGAGAUUUGGAGGGGACAAACAUCUAAACCAUAUCAAGAUUUUUCAUUUAUUUGUCUAAAUUGAUUCCUAUGUAUUUCAUAUUUUUGUAGCUAUUGUAAAUGAGAUUGCUUUCUUGAUUUCUUUUUUCAGAUUAUUCACCAUUGACAUAUAUAAAUGCUACUAAUUUCUGUAUGUUGAGUUUGUAUCCAGCAACUUACUGAAUUAGUUUACCAGUUCUAGCAGUUUUUUGGUGGAGUCUUUAGGUUUUUCUAAGUGUAAGUUCAUGUCAUCUGUGAACAAGGCUAUGAUUUCUUUCUUUCCAAUUUUAGUACUCUUUAUUUUUUUCCCUUGCCUAAUUGCUCUUCCAGGACUUCCAAUAUUAUGUUAAAUAAAAGUGGUGAAAAGUGA
ensembl:lncRNA novel transcript